UACAGAGGUCCCAAGCGUUGUUCGGAUUCACUGGGCGUAAAGGGUGCGUAGGCGGCCUUCUAAGUCAGACGUGAAAUCCCCAGGCUUAACUUGGGAACUGCGUCUGAUACUGGGAGGCUUGAGUGCGGGAGAGGGAUGUGGAAUUCCAGGUGUAGCGGUGAAAUGCGUAGAGAUGUGGAGGAACACCGAUGGCCGAAGGCA
rnacentral:rRNA from 1 species